GCUGGGAUAGCUCAGUUGGUAGAGCAUGAGACUCUUAAUCUCAGGGUUUUGGAUUCAAUCCCUGCA
rnacentral:tRNA from 1 species